GAACUGCGAUAAGUAAUGUGAAUUGCAGAAUUCAGUGAAUCAUCGAGUCUUUGAACGCACAUUGCGCCCCCUGGCAUUCCGGGGGGCAUGCCUGUCCGAGCGUCAUUGCUGCCCUUCAAGCCCGGCUUGUGUGUUGGGUCGUCGUCCCCUCCGGGGGACGGGCCCGAACGGCAGCGGCGGCACCGCGUCCGGUCCUCGAGCGUAUGGGGCUUUGUCACCCGCUCGAUAAGGACCGGCCGGGCGCCAGCCGGCGUCUCCAACCUUUUUUUCUCAGGUUGACCUCGGAUCAGGUAGGGAUACCCGCUGAACUUAAGC
rnacentral:misc_RNA from 1 species